AAUAUUGGAAAAUGGGGGCAACCCUGAUCCAGCCAUGCCGCGAGGGUGAAGAAGGACUUCGGAUUGUAAAGCACUUUAAGGAGGGAGAAAGGGCUUGAGGCUAAUACGCAGAAGUUCUGACGUUACCAACAGAAUAAGUACCGGAUAACUCUAUGCCAGCAGCCGCGGUAAUACAGGGGGUGCAAGCGUUAAUCGGAAUUACUGGGCGUAAAGCGCGCGUAGGUGGUUCAGUAAGAUGGGUGUGAAAUCCCCGGGCUUAACCUGGGAACUGCUUUCAUAACUGCUGAGCUAGAGUACGGUAGAGGGUAGUGGAAUUUCCUGUGUAGCGGUGAAAUGCGUAGAUAUAGGAAGGAACACCAGUGGCGAAGGCGACUACCUGGACUGAUACUGACACUGAGGUGCGAAAGCGUGGGGAGCAAAC
rnacentral:rRNA from 1 species